rnacentral:rRNA from 1 species
UACGGGGGGAGCAAGCGUUGUUCGGAUUUACUGGGCGUAAAGGGCGCGUAGGCGGUCAGCACAAGUCAGUUGUGAAAUCUCCGGGCUUAACUCGGAAAGGUCAACUGAUACUGUGCGACUAGAGUGCAGAAGGGGCAACUGGAAUUCUCGGUGUAGCGGUGAAAUGCGUAGAGAUCAUGAGGAAGACCAGUGGCGAAGGCGGGUCUCUGGACAGUUCCUGACACUGAGACACGAAGGCCAGGGGAGCAAACGGG